AUACUUACCUGGAUGGGGUCAUUGGGUGGUCAUGAUGGCCCAUGGCCUAGGGUUGUGAUCUCCAUUGCACUUAGGAGGGGUGCUUCCCUAAGGUCUACCCAAGUGGUGGAGCCUACAUCAUAAUUUGUGGUAGUGGGGCCUGCGUUCGCGCAACCCCUUC
rnacentral:snRNA from 1 species